rnacentral:rRNA from 1 species
UACGAAGGGGGCUAGCGUUGCUCGGAAUCACUGGGCGUAAAGGGUGCGUAGGCGGGUCUUUAAGUCAGGGGUGAAAUCCCACGGCUCAACCGUGGAAGUGCCUUUGAUACUGUGAGCCUCGAGGGAGGUAGGGGCGUGCGGAACUUCCGGUGGAGCGGUGAAAUGCGUAGAUAUCGGAAGGAACACCGGUGGCGAAAGCGGCGCGCUGGACCUCUUCUGACGCUGAGGCGCGAAAGCCAGGGGAGCAAACGGG